rnacentral:rRNA from 1 species
GAUGAACGCUGGCGGCGUGCCUAAUACAUGCAAGUCGAGCGAACAGACGAGGAGCUUGCUCCUCUGACGUUAGCGGCGGACGGGUGAGUAACACGUGGAUAACCUACCUAUAUUACUGGGAUAACUUCGGGAAACCGGAGCUAAUACCGGAUAAUAUAUUGAACCGCAUGGUUCAAUAGUUAAAUACGGUUUUUCUGUCACUUAUAGAUGGAUCCGCGCCGCAUUAGCUAGUUGGUAAGGUAACGGCUUACCAAGGCAACGAUGCGUAGCCGACCUGAGAGGGUGAUCGGCCACACUGGAACUGAGACACGGUCCAGACUCCUACGGGAGGCAGCAGUAGGGAAUCUUCCGCAAUGGGCGAAAGCUUGACGGAGCAACGCCGCGUGAGUGAUGAAGGUCUUCGGAUCGUAAAACUCUGUUAUUAGGGAAGAACAAAUGUGUAAGUAACUAUGCACGUCUUGACGGUACCUAAUCAGAAAGCCACGGCUAACUACGUG